rnacentral:rRNA from 1 species
GAGAGAGACAUGCGCGCAUAUCAAUAAGCGGAGGAAAAGAAACUAACAAGGAUUCCCCUAGUAACGGCGAGUGAAGCGGGAAGAGCUCAAAUUUGAAAUCUUAAAGGGUUUCCCUUUACGAAUUGUAGUUUAAAGAAGUGUUUUACUGUUGAGGUUUUGGUAAAAGUUCUUUGGAAUAGGACAUCAUAGAGGGUGAGAAUCCCGUAUUUGACCUUUACUUUCAACUUUGUGAUACACUUUCAAAGAGUCGGAUUGUUUGGGAAUGCAGUCCAAAAUGGGUGGUAAAUUUCAUCUAAAGCUAAAUAUUGGCGAGAGGACCGAUAGCGAACAAGUACCGUGAGGGAAAGAUGAAAAGAACUUUGAAAAGAGAGUUAAACAGUACGUGAAAUUGUCAAAAGGGAAGCGUUUGACACCAGUGUUGUUUUUCUGAAAAUCAAUUAAAGAACUGUUUAUGCUAAGCUGUUUAGACUUUAUCAGCUAUCUGUUUAGUUUUGAGCUUUUCUUUAAUGCACUUUUCAGUUAACAAGUCAACAUCAAUUUCUUUUGCUGUAAAAAAGCUUGAGGAAGGUGGCUUGAGAUUCGUCUUAAGUGUUUAUAGCCUCUUGCCUAUGCAGUCGGAGAGAUUGAGGUCUGCAGCGUAGAUCCUUCGGGGCUGAAUGCAUUUGUGCUAAGUUAUAGCAUUUUAUAGACAACUUGUUGACUAUGAUUUGUCUUGUAGCUUACUCGCUUAUGUUAUUUUACCUACGCUUAGGAUGUUGACGCAUGAGAUAUACGC